GCAGUUCAGUGUUAGGGCAUCUGCUUUGCAUGCAGAAGGUCCUACAUUCAAUCCCUGGCAUCUACA